UAAGCUUUUAUUUGACUCAUAGUUUGUUUGGUCUCUGCAAACAUAUAUUAUUCUUACAAAAGUUCUGAUAGUUUCAAAUAUAUUUUUAUUGUUAAAAUUCGUUAGAAAAUUUUAGUUAAUCGUAAGUUAAAUAGUUAGCCCUUAUUAGUUUUUGACAUUUUUAUCUCUCUUAUAUUAUACUGUUAUGAUUUUUGGAGAGAUAUAUUUGUGAUGGCAAAAUUGAAAAUGUAAACAGUUUUUUAACGGUAACAAAUUAGGGAUGCAUAUUUAAAAAUAUCAGAACUUUUAUAGAGACAAUUUAUAAAAGUUGAACUCUAUAGAAAUAUAUUAAUUUGUCAUUCACUAUGUUUGCAAUAUUCAAGUAAUUCUCUAUACGUAUUUUAUAAAAAAAUAUUUAAAUUAUUAUGAUUUAACUCAAAUUAAGUAGUUGUA
rnacentral:lncRNA from 1 species